UCUACGGGAGGCAGCAGUGGGGAAUAUUGCACAAUGGGGGAAACCCUGAUGCAGCGACGCCGCGUGAGUGAAGAAGUAUCUCGGUACGUAACGCUCUAUCAGCAGGGAAGAAAAUGACGGUACCUGACUAAGAAGCCCCGGCUAACUACGUGCCAGCAGCCGCGGCAAUGCGGAGGGGGCAAGCGUUAUCCGGAUUUACGGGGUGUAAAGGGAGCGUAGACGGCAGCACAAGGCUGGAGGUAAAUCCCGGGGCUUAACCCAGGAACUGCGUUGGAAACUGUGCGGCUUGAGUGCAGGAGGGGGAAGCGGAAUUCCUAGUGUAGCGGUGAAAUGCGUAGAUAUUAGGAGGAACACCGGUGGCGAAGGCGGCUUACUGGACUGUAACUGACGUUGAGGCUCGAAAGCGUGGGGAGCAAACAGGAUGAGAUACCCCUGUAGUC
rnacentral:rRNA from 1 species